GCCAGAGUGGUGUAGUGGUUUGAGCAUUGGAUUAUCACUCAGGAGAACAAGAUUCAAAUCCUUGCUCAGCCA